CCGUUCUCGGGUGGUGUUGGCGUCUGCAAUCUUUCUAAUAACUGAACGACUCUCGGCAACGGAUAUCUCGGCUCUU
rnacentral:rRNA from 1 species